CCUACGCCGUUCGUGGCGGCGGCGGCGGGUGGACGCGACGGCGAUGCCGAUGCCUCCAGCGUCCGCGACUCCGGCCGAAUACCUCUACGCUCGAAUGCUAGACUCCCAGCGAACGAUUUCCUUUCAUGCAGCAACGAGAUGCGUAGCGCGCCACAUGGAAUCUGCUUCCUGAAGGUGGGAUCCGGAUAACAAGUGAUAACUGAUUUCCGCACUAGUACAUUGCUCCAGUUCCUGGAUGCACAUCCCGAGGGACGCUGCACACCUUUGUGGAGCUGAAUAUACGUCUGAAGAGUUCAGGUUGCUCGUUACCGGCUCUUCUUAUUUCAGUCUUGUUCUUUGGUACCUUUGUUUGAUUUCGGAACUGUUAAAUGAUGUCGACAUUUGGUUUAAUUCGACUCGGCAAGCAAAUACGGGCAGUGCUUCAAAUAUGAUCCUAAUUGUCUAUUUUUCUAAUUGAAUUAUUGCAGCGUACUGAAUUUGCUUCCUUGUUGUGUAGCAUACUCCAGUAAUGACUUAUUCCGCCUCAUUUGCUGUUUUCAAUUUUUGAAUGCGCAUUCCUAUGUGAUGCUACACAUUAUGUGGAACAGAAGGGACAUUUGAGAAGUUAUUUGUAGGGACAUCUGAGAAGUUAUUCGUUUUUUUUUCUCGCCUACUGUCUUGAGAACCCUUUUUUUCCAGUGGUCUCUAUUGAAAUUUUUGUUUGAUUCUCAAACUAUUUUGUUGCCAGUAAUGGGUUGCGUUCUAUGCCAAAAGUUUGCAUGUUUAGAGCUUUAAACGGUUCCAUUUUCAAUUCAACAUUUCUGUUUUGAAAUGGUGCAUUGUGCUAAAUCCAUGUGAUACUCCAAUGAUGACUUAUUUCGCCUCCUAUAUCGUUCCAAUUCCUGAAAGCACAUCUAUGAGAUGGUGUAUGUUAUGUGGAGCAGAAGGGACAACUGAGGAGUUUUUUUCUCGCUUAAAAUUUGAAAAAUCCCUUUUUUGGAAAAGUUGGUGUGAUCCCACAUGCUGUUUUACACUUGGUUGAAUUUGAUGCCAUUUGCAAACAUGCAUCGAGUUUCAAACUUGGUUACUUUUCAAGAUUUUUGGUCUGGCUGGUUCCGAACAACCAAACAUAUUAUGAGCUACAUUGUGGCGAGCCAAAUCAUGAAUUUCAGAAAGGCUAGGUAUUUUGUUUGUUAGUCUGACGGGUACAGACUCUAAGCGUUGAAUCUGACAUUGCAUCUGUUAAUUUGGUGCUAAUUAUUUGUUUGUUUUCUUCAGAUAAGUUUUAAUAAGCUUUUAUUCACCACUGGAGAAAUCAGCAUUAGUUAUAAGUAUUUAUGGUUCACGGUAAUAAGCUCACAAGAAGCCUUCUCUUCUCCGCGGAGUUAACAACCCAGUUUCACUUUAGCUCAUGAGCAAGACAGGUGAGGUGCCAUCUCCUAAGCUCUCUAGAUGAUCAGUGGCCUUGAUGCUCGAAUAACCCAGGAAUAUUUGUGACAUCAGUUUUGCACAAGGUGAGAUUGAGACCAUAAGAAUUAUCCUCCAUUAGGCAUGUCCAAGUCGUGUGACCAACACUACAAGAAAAGAGAAGGCGCCAACAAAGCUAGCGGGGAACUUGCUUACAGGAUUAGACCCAGACAGCACCACCUUCCACCAGCCCUCGACCCACCUGCCCUGUUCGGUGAUAACCUGCAUUAGUACCCAUCACAGUAUCAGGCUCAAACCAAACUGAUAGUUCUAUUCGACACCGUAGCUGGAGGAGUCAAUGACAAAAAAACUACCACAAUUGAGGCAAUUGUGUCACAUAACUACCAAAUGUGUUUGUUUUGUCACGUGACUACCAUUAUUGGGGCACGUUCGUGACGAAGAGCACUGAUUUUCUAAUUUGCGCGUUCUUCGCCCCUUCCCCCGCCCAAAUUCCAGCCGCCGCGCGUCUUUGAGGACCCGACCGAGACCGCCGGCGACCCCCCGCUACGUCCUCCAUAGCUUGUCGCCCCCGUCGGUUUGGCUCCGGCGCCGCUGGCCAAGCAUGCUCCGCCGGCCAAGCUUGCUCUGCCGGACAGCCCGCAACUCCGUCGACGAUGGGUCCCUCCGCCCCGCGUUUCAGGACUUGCAGCUAUGCGCCGUCAGUACCUCUGCCCGCCGCCGUCCUUGCCGUUGAGCGCCUUGCGGGGCGGCGGAUAUGGGCCUCCCCGAGAGAGGCCGCGGGGGAAACGGAGAGGGGAGAGCGCGGCUGCGACGGUGGCGGGGUGUUGCGCCAUCAGGUACAACUCUUCUCGCCGUCGAACCCGGCGGCGAUCGAGGAGACUGGGCGGCAGCGCUGUGUUCUAGGCGCUGGGGAGGUGGAUGGCAACGGACUCGACGCGCGUGGGCGUCCUCCUGGUGCAUCGGCGGCACCCUCCUGGUGCACCGGUGACGACCUGACGCGCGUGGACGACAUACCAGCGGCCUAGCUUGACAGAGGAAGGAGAAGACCCUCUGCCUUUUUUUAAUGGGAAUUCCUAUUUUUAAUUUUUUUAUGUGGGGGAUUGGAUCUGUGUGACACAAAAAUAUAUUUUGAGGUUACUUUUGCAAAAUGGAACUAGCAGUUAGGUUUCCACCUGCCACGUAGUCGUGGGCCCGAAUAGUUAGAAAAUGGUUUAACACGUCAUGAACAUGCCCCAGUAGUGGUAGUCAUGUGACAAAACAAACACAUUUGGUAGUUCCGUGACACGACUGCCUUAAUUGUGGUAGUUUUUUGUCAGUUACUCUAGCUGGAGACUUUUGGCAGAUGCGUCCACCAAAUGCUACCAGCGACUCACGUAUCAUUGAGAUGGAUGGCACACUUGGCAUCUACAACCAUAACACUGCAACGGAAGCUGUUGAUAUAUGGGUGUUGCAGGACUACAAAUGUCAGGUUUGGGACUUGAAGUACAGAGUCUUGUUGCCGGUUGCAGAAAUCAGGGACUGGUUUUAAGGCUGCACUGAUUGCUCGUGGCCAAUGGAUGUUGCUUUGGUGGAUGGUGACGUGCUCUUGCUGGUCUGUUUUGGUCAGUGGCUGCUCUAAAUUGGUCGGUAGUUUCCAUUGUUGUGGCCAAGGCCCCCGUCUAACUGGAUUUCGGCUGAAACAAACUCUUGUUCCACACACCUUUUUUACGACACUAGAAGGUUAUGCCGUGAACGCUUCGCCUUUCAUCUGACAGUUGUUGAGUGAGGUGGUGCCUCUUAAUGGCCUAGCUGUUUGUAUCUGGAUCAAGUAUGAUCCUGCUGGCUUCUUGCACAGGCUUCUUUACGGCACCAGAAGCUCUGAUUCUUAUGUGGUCUCAUGAAAUAUUUGCUUGUCUCAGUACCUUUUCGGACCGCAGUGUCGACUGUUGUUGAUGCUAAAAUUAUCAUGUCACCAUUUGUGAAGCACCACUAGAUACACUGAGCAUUUGCUUCAGAAUAUGAAAGCUACGAGUCAUUCUAUUCGGAAUGUACAAAUAAGUUUUAAACUACUCUAUUCGGAAUGUGUGUCUGCGACAUGAAACUGGUGAUUGAUAGAGAAGUGUCUUCACCUGAUAUUGUAUCCCUUAUCUUUGCGGUGUGUUUGCUCAAAUGUGUCUUUGUAAGGCAAAAUUAAGCAGAAAAUUCAGAAUAGUAGUUGGAAAGUCGACCAGUGGGUAAGAGUAGCAGGUGGUGAUCCAGGGAAUGGGAGUUGCAUGCACAUCUACUAGUUUUUGCUUCUCACUGUACAUUUAUAAAUUCUUCACCUCCAACUGCUGUGUCAAGUCUUGUUUUGUUCUAUGUAAAAAGAUUGUGUCAUGGGUGAGUUCUUGUGAAACUGUUGUUUGCAUUCGGCAGCAGCUUCUGUUGGCCUUGAGGACCAGGUGGGCGAAGCCCUGGAAUGUGGGAUCAGGUACCAGCUGGAGGGUCUGGCUUUCCAGGCCGCCCUGGUUCUUGGGGCCCGCUUCUUUGGAUGCUGGUAAGUUGAAUCCUUGGCUACCUGAUGGAACCUUAUACUCCCUCCGGUCCUAUUUAAUUGACUCGGAUUUAGUAUAAAAUUGUACUAAAUCCGAGUCAAUUAAAUAAGACCGGAGGGAGUACUUCACAUCUGGUCACUGACAUCGUCACUUAUUUCAGUUAGGAUGUAAAAAAAAACCAAUUAAUCCAGUUUGAUUAUUAGUGGUUCAGUGUCCAUGGGUCAAGUACAUCGAAGUGCACUAGGUGAUGAAGCAUACAUUAGUCUUAUAGCAUUCUUCCUCCGUUUCUCUCGUUGAAUGCUUCUUUUGCAGCUUCUACCUCCUCUGUUGAUGUUGUCUGCUCCAAGAUUGUUGUGGCCCGUUUCUGGGGCACCCCGGCCUGGGCAGCCCACUGCCACCCAUUUGACAGCGUGCCAACACAUCCAUCGUGGCAUAUAAUGAACUGGGCUACAAUUCUUGGCCUAAACAUUCGCUGAAGAACUCAUUUGGUUGAACAUUCUGGCUGUUGGCAGAGCCCCUUGCUACUGAACUUAUACCAGUGAAAUCAUUUGUCUUGUAUCUCUUGAAGAUCAUUGUAUGCAGUCUUACCAAUUACUGAAUAUUAUUUCAUUGACUACUUUUUUUUUUGGUUAUACCUGAUGAUUGAAUGUAUCAGAUUAUCUUGUCAAUUUGUUCAGUUGCUAGUUUCUCCUGAGUUUGGAGCACCGCUUGUUGCAUCGAAUGUAAUGGUCCCAACUUUUCAGUGAAGUGUUGUGCUGCAAUUCAUUACA